rnacentral:rRNA from 1 species
CAGCCGCCACGGUAAUACGUAGGUCCCGAGCGUUGUCCGGACUUAUUGGGCGUAAAGCGAGCGCAGGCGGUUAGAUAAGUCUGAAGUUAAAGGCUGUGGCUUAACCAUAGUACGCUUUGGAAACUGUUUAACUUGAGUGCAGAAGGGGAGAGUGGAAUUCCAUGUGUAGCGGUGAAAUGCGUAGAUAUAUGGAGGAACACCGGUGGCGAAAGCGGCUCUCUGGUCUGUAACUGACGCUGAGGCUCGAAAGCGUGGGGAGCAAACAGGAUUAGAUACCCCAGUAGUCCCUGUCUCUUAUACA